rnacentral:tRNA from 11 species
GCGCCCGUAGCUCAGUGGAUAGAGCAGCGGUCUCCGGAACCGCGUGCGUAGGUUCGAUUCCUAUCGGGCGUACCA